CCGUCUAAACUCCGCUGCACUCCUGCCGUCAAUUUUUUUUUUCACUGGCACUCGUGCGUUUUCCAAUCCGCCGUGCGUAUCUUCUUCGUGCCAGCUGGAGUGGGCUGCCCUUGUCUCGUGCCGCGUACGCGCAGCAAGUGCUUGGAAAGCACUUUCCUUUAUCCUAUCUUUCCCCCCUUUUAGUCGUCCAUCAAUGCAGGGCACACACUCCCACCCGCACACACCCACGCACUGCAGACAUUUCGCACGGUUCGCCUUUGACAAUGCCCAAGAAAGAAAAGGAGAAGAGGGUGCCGACCCCUUCGGUGACCUCGCCAGGCAUCACAGAGGAAGAGUGCUUGCUGGAGGUGUAUCUGCACUGGGAUGUGGAGGCGCAAGCGGCGCCAGACAUUCUGGUUUUCCUGCGACUCUGUCAGGAGGAUCACUUCAUUCUUCCUCGCCAGCUGCCGGCCGACGCCAACAGCGACUGUACCGCUGACGGGCAACAACAGUCGCGCCAUCAGCAACCGUCUGCAGCCCUCCCGCUGCUCCUCCUAGUAAAGCAGACGGUCUUUGUAGGCGGGUCGACCGUACGCCAUACACUACUUAAUGAUAGCAAGGCCAACCGUAUUGACGUGUACGCCCUCCCGAGCGCCGGCGUUGGCGACGAAGCCGGUGGCAAGCAGGCUGGCGGCGCAGCGGGGAAGCGUUUUAAGAGCGUGACGCCGGCUGUCGCGAAAUCCAAAGGAAAGUCAGCGACCGGGCUCGCUGCUCUCCCCGACGGCGCCCGCCACAUUGGGGGAGCAACGCUAUCGUUUGUUCCACUUCUUGCAAGCUCGACAAUGGACGUCUCUGUGCCGCUCACCGCAGGGUCACUUGUCGAUGCUGACAAGUGCUUGAAUUUCCGCGUGCGGUGCCACGAUUCACUGCUGCUGUCUGCGCAGUGCAUGUCUCAGUGUCGCCCAGUGCUGGUGCGUGUAUACGGGGUCGCGGGACUGCCCACCUUGGAGUCCACAUCUGGCUCCUCAUCCACAAAGGACAUAGCUGUAGCUGCGACUGCCGACUCACGCCGUCGUCUGCGCGCGUGUGUCACACUGGCAGGGGGAUGCGUGACGGCACCCAUACUUCCGAUCACACCUGCAAUCUCCGCCGAUGAGGCUGUGGCGCCGUCCUCAUUCCCAUCACACAGACCGGCGGCCACUUUCCACGAUCACAUUCUCUUUUUGCAGGAGCUGGGCACACCCCUCGAUGUGUACCGGAAACUCCACAGCGCACCAUGCGAGGUGUCGCUUUGGCAAUCCUUCGAGAUGGAUGCUCAGGGGACGGCGGUAGCAGCUGCAAGCGCCACCUCACCGCCGGAGAAGGGCACAGAGGUCUUACUUGGCAGCGGCGGCUUUUCGGUGCGCGACUUUUUGACAGACGAUCAAACACGCUUUACUGAAACGGUGCAACUGCUGCCUGGUCGCUCCACGGUGAACCUUGCAAAGGAUUCCACGUGCCUCACUACCGGCUGCAGCGUUUCCGUACGCCUCGACUUUUUCCAGCCCUUCACGCCUCUGCAGCAUGUUGACAAGGAGGGGCAGCCGCUGCCCCGCAAGGCCUUCUUGACGCGUGCGCUUGUGCGCCUGCCGUACGCGGUUCCGUGGAUAGCCGACUUUCUGGCGCUCCUUCUGCGCGAGGUCACGGCGCUGCCUCGCGCGACAGAGGACGUGCAGCUUUAUCUACCGCCACCGCCGCCGCUACCGCCCACCGAAACCGCGGAGAAGGAAAAGCCAGCUGGGGGACGCAGCGGCACCACCCAUGCCCGCGGCGCGGCGCCGCCUGCUGCCUCCUCUUCCUCAAAGCGAUCAGGUAGCGGCAGCGGGAAUCGAAAGGCAGGAAAGGCAAUCGGACGCCCUGCUCCCGCAGACCCCGUACCAGCCCCGCCAUUGCCGUCUUUCGCAGGCGAGCUGAAGGUGUACUCGCCGCCCGGGCUCAGCGGAUUCGAGGUGGCAGACGGGGAGGAGCGUCUGUGGUGCUUUGAGGCGACGGUCCCCGAACUGCAGCGUAUACUCAGCGAGCUCGGCAGUUUUGUGGAGGCUCGUGGCGGUGCGACGUCACAGGUGCAUAUGCAUUUCAACGCCGAGCUGUUUGUGCCGCAGCGCGCGUACGUGAAGUUCCCGCCAUUGGUGGUUCCACCAGUGGGAAUGGCAGCCGCAUCACCGCCACCCAGCGAGGCCGAUGACGCGUCGGUGGCCUUGGAGGUGGAGCCGAGCGGAACGGGGGGACGGCUUCACCGCAUUCGCCUCCGUAGCGCUGUCGGCGCCCUGUGCCAGACGCAGUCCCACUACAUCCGCCACAACCUCUCCGAUGACUGCCUGCGGUGCCUGCUCUCCUUGGCAGCGCUGCUGAGGGCUGCGUCGAUGCGAGAGGCCGAGAUGCGAGGUUGGAUGCCGUCCGCGACGCUUCUCAUCGCCGCAGAGCGUUCCUUUGGUCAAACUCUAGAAAAGGAAGACUUGUUCGGCGUCACCUUCCCCACCCCUGCUGCAUCGCAGACCGCAGUGGCGGCGUCGGUCUCUAUGUAUGAUACCACGGAUCGCGUGUCGGAAAGCAACGCCAGCGGUGCCGCUGCAUCUCUGAUGGCCGAGGCGGUGGUAGGGUCGGUCGUGUUCUUUGACGGUAUGCUCAGGGCUGGGACUCGCCGUCCUGUGCCGGCGGCCGUUCUCCUGCGCUUCCCUGUCUCGUUUUGGAUGGUGGUGACAAAAACGAAGGAAGAGGUGCUGUGCACCUUCCCACACAACACCCCCACCGGCCUCGUACAGUACCACAUCGAGGGACAGGUAGUGCGGUGCUCCACGGUGACCUUGCUCUACGUGCUCAAGUGCGUGUGCCUUGCGCGUAGUGUCACACAAAGCCACAACGCGGCCUACGAGCUCGUCUUGCGCCAGCGUCAGCGCGAGCAGCACGCGCUGCAGCAGGAGAGGAUGGCACCAUCGGCGACCAGCAAGCUCAUGGCGGUGCGGCAGGCUUCAGCGGAUGCCGCGGGGGACGGCAGAGACGCCUUGCGCCGCGGUGCAGACAAGACUCGCGGCUCUGCCGUCGGCCAAGUACGCGGAACGGACUCCAGUGACGAGGAUGGCGCUGAAGAGGUGGAUUGGCUAGACUCCAGCAUGGACCGGUACUUGUACACGUCUUCUGCUUCCCCAAGCAGGUCAUCAGCGCUGUCACGGCGCUUGCGAACGGAUCGCACGAGUUCUCACAAGACGUCGGUUCACAAAACCCAACGCAGACAAGUACUGGGCGCCGCCCCCUCGCCGACGGAGCUCACGUACGACGAUCUGUGGCGCAUGUAUGAGAAGCGCGCCCCCGCCUCGGCGACAGCGGCACCUGCACGCGGCCACGAAAAACUGCCACCCAUCCGAUUUUGAUAGGGGAGAGGGAGACAGAGGUCCUGCCCCACAUCCCCUCCUUUUUUCUCUCUUCCUCUACUGAUGUACACUAUAUGCGUGACGAAGCGCGUUGUGCUUCCCACUGCCGUCACACUUCGUGUGGCUUUGCCCCAUCUCUUCUUUUGGCCGGUCAAGCUCUUGUGCACUAGCUUCCCGUUGCCGUCCCCGCUGUAGUUCGUGUUUGUGUAUGUGCGUGGUUUAUACAUAUCUGCAUUUUCGUUGUGAUACGCCUUCCGGACUUUGCGUGAGGUGGUGCGAGCGUGUCGAUGGGUCGACAUCUAUCUUGCCUCCUUCCCCCACCUUUUCUUCUCUAGCGCUUCGCACGCUAGAGCUCAGUGCAGCAAG
rnacentral:misc_RNA from 1 species